rnacentral:lncRNA from 1 species
GUUAGAAAUGUGGAGGUGCAAACUUUGUCCAGUAGAAUUUAUAACCUCUGGGAAAGACAAGAAGAAACAACAUGAACACAUAUAACUCACACAGACGGGAUUUGUGCUACUCACACUAACCAUGCAAGGUUCCCAGACAACUGUCUCAGUGGUCUCAGCACUUACUUCUCUGAUGGAGGAGCAUCAUUCUUGAACUGCUAUUCUCUGUUGUUUAAAUACGGACAUUUGUAGUACCCAGGAUUGAGCACAUAACUGCCUUGGUGGAAACUCGGAAUGAUUCUGACCUCUCUGGUUUUGCCCUAUGCGGUGGGGACUAUGCAGUAUUAUGGAAACAGUGGUGCAUUGGCAACAUUAGACUGAUGAAUUCAUUCAACAAACAUUAACAGUAUUCUAUGUGUUAUGCUUUGGAAGAUGCAAAAUAAUUGAUAUUUUCAUUGCCUUCAAGAAUCCGUAGUGUGGUAAGUAGGACUAUCUCAUAGAGAAGUGUAAUAAUAUGGUAACAUAAAAACCCAUGACUGAGAAAUGCACCACUUUAAGUGGUGUGUGUCUGCGUGCUCAUGCAUGUGUGUGGUGAAAGUUGGAAGAGGAGAGCUAAAUUUCAAACAGAAGAGAGUAACUGAUCUAUAUAUAAAUAUUUUAGUAUUUUUUGUUUACUCUUUAGAUAUGGUACAGGCAUUGAUAAAAUAUUUAUACAACAUAUUGAUCAGACAUGUGUUGAUAUUAUAUUUGUGUUUGGAAGUAAUUUUCAUAAAAAUGGGACAUGAUAAAAUUAAAAGUAAUAUAUUCAGAAUUAUUCAACAUUCUUAAUAUUUAAAACAUUCUUGAGCUAGACAUGGUAGCACACACCUGUAAUCCUAGCACUCAGGAGGCUGAGGCUGGAGAAUCGCUGUGAGUUCAAGGCCCAGCCCAUGCUACAAAGUGAGUUCAAGGCCAGCCUGGGCUAUAUAGUGAGACCCUGUCUCACAAAACAAAAACAAAAACAAAACAACCACUCUUAAUGUUUUAAGUCACCUGCUUAUGAUGAUGGCAGUGCAAUUUAGCUGGUAGGCUAAUUUCAAAGGUUAUUUUAUAGUACUAUAAAUUUUCUUGCCAGUAAUAAUUUUGUACUGACAAUUCAUUGUGCCUCAAAACAUAUCAUCUUUCCUAGUGGACGUUCUCUCACACCAGGAUUAACCUACAUUUCCUUUGAAACAUUUAGGUAAGCUAUUUCUUCUAGAAGUGCUGAAAUUCUAAUCAUCUGGCAAAACAAAAACACCAGUAUACAUGGGAACUCUGAUACAUGAUGUUAAUCCUUUGUUUUUUUCUGAUAUAUCUGGGUCAUGAUUGUGAAGGUUUUAGUAUCAUAAAAGCUCUAGGUCAACAGCUACUUGCCAAAUGAUCAGUUUGCCAAAU